rnacentral:rRNA from 1 species
UCGACUUGGAGGUUGUGCCCUUGAGGCGUGGCUUCCGGAGCUAACGCGUUAAGUCGACCGCCUGGGGAGUACGGCCGCAAGGUUAAAACUCAAAUGAAUUGACGGGGGCCCGCACAAGCGGUGGAGCAUGUGGUUUAAUUCGAUGCAACGCGAAGAACCUUACCUGGUCUUGACAUCCACGGAAGUUUUCAGAGAUGAGAAUGUGCCUUCGGGAACCGUGAGACAGGUGCUGCAUGGCUGUCGUCAGCUCGUGUUGUGAAAUGUUGGGUUAAGUCCCGCAACGAGCGCAACCCUUGAUCUUAGUUGCCAGCAUUCAGUUGGGCACUCUAAGGUGACUGCCGGUGACAAACCGGAGGAAGGUGGGGAUGACGUCAAAUCAUCAUGCCCCUUAUGACCUGGGCUACACACGUGCUACAAUGGACAGAACAAAGGGCAGCGAAACCGCGAGGUUAAGCCAAUCCCACAAAUCUGUUCUCAGUUCGGAUCGCAGUCUGCAACUCGACUGCGUGAAGCUGGAAUCGCUAGUAAUCGCGGAUCAGCAUGCCGCGGUGAAUACGUUCCCGGGCCUUGUACACACCGCCCGUCACACCACGAGAGUUUGUAACACCCGAAGUCGGUGAGGUAACCUUUUAGGAGCCAGCCGCCGAAGGUGGGACAGAUGAUUGGGGUGAAGUCGAAACAAGGUAGCCGUAUCGGAAGGUGCGGCUG